rnacentral:rRNA from 1 species
UACGGAGGAUGCGAGCGUUAUCCGGAUUUAUUGGGUUUAAAGGGUGCGUAGGCGGUAUGGUAAGUCAGCGGUAAAAGCCCGGGGCUCAACCCCGGCGAGCCGUUGAAACUGCCGUGCUAGAGAGGAAGAGAAGUAGGCGGAAUGCGCAGUGUAGCGGUGAAAUGCUUAGAUAUCAGGAGGAACAUCGGUGGCGUAAGCGCUUUACUGGGCCGUAAUUGACGCUGAGGAACGAAAGCCAGGGUAGCAAAUGGG